rnacentral:rRNA from 1 species
UACAGAGGUGGCAAGCGUUGUUCGGAAUUACUGGGCGUAAAGGGCGCGUAGGCGGCCCUCUAAGUCCCGUGUGAAAGCCCCCGGCUCAACCGGGGAACUGCACGGGAAAUUGGAAGGCUUGAGUUCGGGAGAGGGAAGCGGAAUUCCGGGUGUAGCGGUGAAAUGCGUAGAUAUCCGGAGGAACACCGGUGGCGAAGGCGGCUUCCUGGACCGACACUGACGCUGAGGCGCGAAAGCUAGGGGAGCAAACGGG